GAAAAAAAAAAGGGGGAUCAAAAGUGACAGCCACAGCAGAGGUAGAAGAAGCAGAGAGUAGAAACAAGAACAAUAGCUUCAACAACAUAAAGAAUCUUGAACACCAAAUUAUCAAUAAUUUUCAACUGAAAAUCAACAUGUUUCCACUUGAAAGAAGAGAGUGAGAUUUUCCAUGGCCAUAGAUGAUCCUUGUUGAUCCCCAGCUUCUUCAAGAACCAAACCUUCUUAGCCAUCAGAGAUUCUUUCCUUCUCUGUGCACUCUCCCUCUCCCUCUCUCUCCCCCUCUUGGGUUUGAUGGAAGCUCCGUGGAGGUUUGUGUUAUGUUAUAUACAUGAGUGGAGGAACAGAGGUUGGCUCUGCCUUAGCUUCUUCGAGAACAAAAAGAGAGAGAGAGAGAGAGGCUUUUGCUAUUGAUAUAUAAUUUUAAUUUUUUUU
rnacentral:misc_RNA from 1 species